GACGAACGCUGGCGGCGUGCUUAACACAUGCAAGUCGAACGGAAAGGCCCUGCUUGCAGGGUCCUCGAGUGGCGAACGGGUGAGUAACACGUGGGUGAUCUGCCCUGCACUUCGGGAUAAGCUUGGGAAACUGGGUCUAAUACCGGAUAGGAGCCAUCUUUAGUGUGGUGGUUGGAAAGUUUUUUCGGUGUGGGAUGAGCUCGCGGCCUAUCAGCUUGUUGGUGGGGUAAUGGCCUACCAAGGCGGCGACGGGUAGCCGGCCUGAGAGGGUGUACGGCCACAGUGGGACUGAGAUACGGCCCAGACUCCUACGGGAGGCAGCAGUGGGGAAUAUUGCACAAUGGGCGCAAGCCUGAUGCAGCGACGCCGCGUGGGGGAUGAAGGCCUUCGGGUUGUAAUCUCCUUUCGCUAGGGACGAAGCUUUUUGUGACGGUACCUAGAUAAGAAGCACCGGCUAACUACGUG
rnacentral:rRNA from 1 species